UACGGAGGGUGCAAGCGUUAUCCGGAAUCAUUGGGUUUAGAGGGUGCGCAGGCGGGCUUUUAAGUCAGUGGUGAAAUCCCUUCGCUUAACCAAGGAACUGCCAUUGAUACUGAAAUUCUUGAAUUUAGUUGGCGUGGGCGGAAUGUGCCAUGUAGCGGUGAAAUGCUUAGAUAUGGCACAGAACACCGAUCGCGAAGGCAGCACACGAAACUAAUAUUGACGCUCAGGCGCGAAAGCAUGGGGAGCAAACGGG
rnacentral:rRNA from 1 species